CGGCGGACGGGUGAGUAACGCGUGGGUAACCUGCCUUAUACAGGGGGAUAACAGUUAGAAAUGACUGCUAAUACCGCAUAAGCGCACAGUACCGCAUGGUACAGUGUGAAAAACUCCGGUGGUAUAAGAUGGACCCGCGUCUGAUUAGCCAGUUGGCGGGGUAACGGCCCACCAAAGCGACGAUCAGUAGCCGACCUGAGAGGGUGACCGGCCACAUUGGGACUGAGACACGGCCCAAACUCCUACGGAAGGCAGCAG
rnacentral:rRNA from 1 species